rnacentral:sRNA from 1 species
AUGGCACACCACCCAACUGCCACUGCCCAUGCAGUGGCUGGGGCGUGCACCCCUGGGAAGCUAGAAGAACCUCAGAAGGGAGCCAAGCUAGAAGGAAUAUCAGAUUCCCCUUGCCUCUCCUUUUCUCACCUUUGAAAAUGGAAAGAGAAAGAAACUGGCGCCAAGACCUGCCUGCUGAGCAACCAGAACUGCGGAUGAGGAACUGGAUUGGUUUUCAUGAAGGCACAAGGUCUCACCUAGGUGCAUUUUUGUCUGUGUGGGUGGUCGGCUGCUGAGGAACCUGUUGUUGAGAAGACUAUCUUUGAUCCCUAUGUUGUUCUUAUCCAAAAUCCACCGACUGUGACUGUGGUAUAUUCCUGGCUUUGUGGCUUGUUCCAUUGAACUUACUGUCUCUUACCUUGAUUCCGAAUUAUCUCAUCUGAGCUGCUGGACCAAAUCACUACAGCCCAGGGAGCAUCAACACAGGAUGUUCAUUUUGCAAAGUUCUGGAAACCACAAAAACAAAGGUCAAAGACUGAGGUGACCGGUGUCUGCUGAGCACCCUUCUCUCAGUCUGAAGACAGCUCACCCUUCUGUUGUAUCUCCCCACGGUGAAGAGAAGGCCACGUCUUCCAAAUCUCUUCCCUCUUUUCUUUAAGUAUGCUUCUAAGAGCCUAAGAAGUUAUAAACAAGCCAGAGACCACCCGGAAUGUUUUUCUGAUGCCUUCUAUGAAGUUUAUAGCUUUGUAGUUAACAUUUCAUUCCUUAAAAGUACUUGGCUUUCGUUACAUUUGUCCUGACAUCUAAAACUUCCCAGCCAAACUGUAGUGGCACCGCUACUCCUACCAAUUAUAUUUUACUGUCUUUUCUUAUUUUUUUUAGACGAUUUCAAGUCUACUUAUCUAAUAAAAGAGAGCACU